CCCUUGGAGACCUUUGGCAGCGAAGCGGGGCCGCGUCUCCCCGCAGGCGGCCGUGUAUGGCGGGAGCCGCCCAGGCGGAGCUCCGGGAAGGCGGAGGAGGCCCCGAGAGCCCCAGCGCGAACCCGAAGGCUUCAGGCCUGAGUUUGGGCAAGAGGUGCCCGACGCCAGGACAGCGGUUCGAGAGGGUUGGAGGAACCCGACGGAUGUGCUGAGGCCCACGGCAUCGGGAUCGCAUGGGAGCCGUCGCAGAUCUCAGUGUCCGCAGCGAUCCGCCUGGAGGAGAGAGAGAGAGAGAGAGGAAGGAAGAGAGACGGAGAGAGAGAGAGGAAGAGAGAGGGAGAGAGAGGGGGAGGAAGAGAGUACCGCAAAAAAUUAAAAAAAAAAAAAAGACAUAGUCCUUUGCCCAGCCAACGUUUUUAUUUUGGAAAAUUAUCGAAAUCGAGGCAGAAGAGAGCACAGUUGGAAAUAUAUAUAUAUAUAAUUAUUCUCCGGAAACGAAGAGUGAAGCUAAGGGAUUUUGAAUCCUGUUUAACUCACUGCAGAGUUAUCUCUGCGAGAAUAAAGUGGGAGCAACGUGAAUAUCACGAAGACGAUGAGGGCGGUACUGUCGCCUUCCCAGGAUGAAGGACAUCGAUGACCAUUUGUUUCCUCUGGAACAGUCGGUUGGACUCCAACUUCCUGGUACGGAUAGCUACUGUGUCAUUCAAGAGCAGGUGAUCUUCAGGCAGUCAGGACGAAAAGAGCUCUUCCUUUCUGCUUAAGUGAAACUGUGCUCUUUUGCUCACCCUGUUGUCUGUGACUUUCAUUCUUCGCUGUCAUGAGACUGCACAUUUGAGACCACCUUAUCAUUUCUGGGUUCUCUUCCAGGAUCCUAAAAGGGUAAGUCUGGAAUAAUGGCCUAUAGCUCUGUUCUGUUUUCCCAACUCUCCUUCCAAAUAUAGUACUGUGUAAUGAAUAUCAAAAUGGAGACUCAGUCACUCAGUAAAUGUACUGAUUUCAUCACUCAGUGCGAGUGCUGAUUUUAAGAUUCAGAUAUCAGACUUGCUGGUGUGAGACUUCCACUCUCCUUUCUUGUAUGACAGAGGGAUGUUAGUCCGACCCUGCCUCAGUUUCCCUCUCAUGAGUCUACCUGCUCUUGCUGGGGUGCAGGCCUCACCCAGAGCCCUCCCAGAGCUGCACCUCAGCGUGGACCAGCAGAUCCCAAUUCAUAACCUGCCUGUAUAGACGGGGACAGCCAUCUUUAGUUGUGCUUUCUAGGUCUAUUUUGGUCCCAUGGCAGAGGGCACCCGACUUCUGGCCCUGCUCUAUUGGAAAGUUCACCCUACUUAGUACAGACUAGAGGCACUAAUCAGACAGAGAACAAGGAUAUCACGGGGCCCAACUAUGACUUUGAUGGAAAAAAGGGACACAGAAAACCAGGGGACAGAGUAAUUAGGAAAUCCAAAUCCACUUGGACUACUGGAUCCCCUUUGUCCUCUCUUUUGUCACAAUAAGGCUUUUUUUGGGGGGGAGAGUCUCUUUCUCUUUCUCCCGCUCCCUCCCUCCCCCUGGCCCUUCCCACUCCCCCUCCCUCUCUCUCUCUCUCCCUCUCUCUUCCUCUCUCUCUCUCUCUCCCUCUCGUUCU
ensembl:lncRNA